UGCAAGUCGAACGAGAAAGUGGAGCAAUCCAUGAGUAAAGUGGCGACCGGGUGAGUAACACGUGACUAACCUACCUUCAAGUGGGGGAUAACCUCGGGAAACCGAGGCUAAUACCGCAUAAUAUCGCAAGAUCAAAGCAGCAAUGCGCUAGAAGAGGGGGUCGCGGCUGAUUAGCUAGUUGGCGGGGUAACGGCCCACCAAGGCGAAGAUCGGUAUCCGGCCUGAGAGGGCGCACGGACACACUGGAACUGAAACACGGUCCAGACUCCUACGGGAGGCAGCAGUGGGGAAUUUUGCGCAAUGGGGGAAACCCUGACGCAGCAACGCCGCGUGGAGGAUGAAGCCCCUUGGGGCGUAAACUCCUUUUCGACCAAGACGAUAAUGACGGUACUGGUGGAAGAAGCACCGGCUAACUCUGUGCCAGCAGCCGCGGUAAUACAGAGGGUGCGAGCGUUGUUCGGAAUUAUUGGGCGUAAAGGGCGCGUAGGCGGUGCCACAAGUCACUUGUGAAAUCCCCGGGCUUAACCCGGGGCCUGCAGGCGAAACUGUGGUGCUGGAAUAUGGGAGAGGUGCGUGGAAUUCCCGGUGUAGCGGUGAAAUGCGUA
rnacentral:rRNA from 1 species